rnacentral:lncRNA from 1 species
AUGGGAGCAAGUCAAGUACCAAGAGAUCUGAGACACCCCAGUGAGAUGGGCAAUGUCAGUGUCCCUCCUCCUGAUAGACGCCAGAAUAAGUUGCUUCUGUGUCGUAAGAAGGCCCGUCUCAAACUUGAAGGAUGGUGGCCAGGUGUGCUGUCAAGGGUGUACCACUGGCAUCAACAUGUAUUGAAUGUUUUAAAAAAGCAAUACAGAGUAAUGUUUAUUUAAACAAUAGCCACCAAUGGUAUGAGACACUCAGAUGGAAAUCCAGUAGUUCCUCACACAGCGGGCGGCUUCAUCGGAG